rnacentral:rRNA from 1 species
AUUGAACGCUGGCGGCAGGCCUAACACAUGCAAGUCGAGCGGAUGACGGGAGCUUGCUCCUUGAUUCAGCGGCGGACGGGUGAGUAAUGCCUAGGAAUCUGCCUGGUAGUGGGGGACAACGUUUCGAAAGGAACGCUAAUACCGCAUACGUCCUACGGGAGAAAGCAGGGGACCUUCGGGCCUUGCGCUAUCAGAUGAGCCUAGGUCGGAUUAGCUAGUAGGUGAGGUAAUGGCUCACCUAGGCGACGAUCCGUAACUGGCUGAGAGGAUGAUCAGUCACACUGGAACUGAGACACGGUCCAGACUCCUACGGGAGGCAGCAGUGGGGAAUAUUGGACAAUGGGCGAAAGCCUGAUCCAGCCAUGCCGCGUGUGUGAAGAAGGUCUUCGGAUUGUAAAGCACUUUAAGUUGGGAGGAAGGGCAGUAAGUUAAUACCUUGCUGUUUUGACGUUACCGACAGAAUAAGCACCGGCUAACUCUGUGCCAGCCGCCGCGGUAAAAC